rnacentral:misc_RNA from 1 species
UCCGAGUUGACCCCGGCAGUCUCCUACGAGUCCCCGGCAUUACCCGCUGGCAACAUAGAAUAAGGGUUGCGCUCGUUGCGGGACUUAACCCAACAUCUCACGGCACGAGCUGACGACAGCCAUGCAGCACCUGUGCACGAUCUCCGAAGAGGGGCUCUCGUUUCUGAGAGCUUGCUCGUACAUGUCAAGCCUAGGUAAGGUUCUUCGCGUUGCGUCGAAUUAAGCCACAUGCUCCACCGCUUGUGCGGGCCCCCGCCAAUUCCUUUGAGUUUUAGUCUUGCGACCGUAGUUCCCAGGCGGAUCACUUAAUGCGUUAGCUGCGGCACCGAGGCAAAGCCCCAACACCUAGUGAUCAUCGUUUACUGCUAGGACUA